GAUCCCGCCCUCGGGGCUUGCGGUCGCCCCGCAGACCAGGCACUUACAGUGCGGCCAGCAGCGCCUCACGCUCCGCCUCGCGCACGGCUGCCAGCUCUUCCUCACGGCUCGGGCCGGUACACGGCGCGCGGUCCUUCGCGUACCAGGUGAGGUCGCGGCCCUUCUGCCAGCGGCCUACUGGCGCCAUCAGCGAGUUGCCCAAGUAGUUCUCCCUCUGCUUGUCAGUCUUCACGUCCUCCCAAUUGAACUGGUCUUGUCCGCCACGCACGCCACCGCGAUUGGAGCCGAACAUGGCGCUGGAGCCACUGCACAGCCUUCAGUACCCGCGGUCUCUAGUCGGACUUCCCGCAGCACUCCGGACGCACGCCGUGACGUCACUCUCGCGCCCCCGCGCGCGCCUGCGCUCUCGCUAACGUGCCCGUGCGCCUGCGCACUGCGUAUCCGAGGGCCUUAUCAAUCAAGAUCCUCUUUCUAA
rnacentral:lncRNA from 1 species